rnacentral:SRP_RNA from 1 species
CGCACUAGUUGGGGAGAUAGCGGUGCCCUGUAACCUGCAAUCCGCUAUAGCAGGGAUGAAUUCCCGCCCCAGGGCUUACACUGUGCUGUCUGACCCAGGUAAGCGGCGAUGAGGAACCGGUCCUGCGCAACGGAAUCCCGUGAACCAUGUCAGGCGGGGAACCGAGCAGCAUUAAGCGGAUCCUUUCGUGUGCCGCGGGGUAGCCGUUUCUGAGCUGGCUGCCUGGGUAACGGGUGUAGUGUGGGUUCAAAGGCGGGUGUGC